UACGUAGGUGGCAAGCGUUGUCCGGAUUUACUGGGCGUAAAGAGCGCGCAGGCGGUCGUUCAAGUCGGAUGUGAAAGCCCCCGGCUCAACUGGGGAGGGUCAUUCGAUACUGAUCGACUUGAAGGCAGGAGAGGGAAGCGGAAUUCCCGGUGUAGUGGUGAAAUGCGUAGAUAUCGGAAGGAACAUCAGUGGCGAAAGCGACUUCCUGGACCAGUACCGACGUUCAGGCACGAAAGCGUGGGGAGCAAACAGG
rnacentral:rRNA from 1 species